rnacentral:rRNA from 1 species
CAACCCCAAGUCAAGUGAGAUUACCCACUGAGUUUAAGCAUACUAAUAAGCCAAGGAAAAGAAACUUAAUAGGAUUCCCCUAGUAACAGCAUAUGAACCGAAAAGAGCUUAACUUGAGAACUAGGUGCCCUUGAUAUUUGAAUUAUAGUUUGGAAAAACAUCUUUAAUAACCAACAGAGCCUAGCCUUUUGGAAAGGGAUGAUGGAGAGGUUGAGAGCCCCAUUAUGGCUAGACCCUAUCACAUCAUGAGGUGCUAUCUACGAGUUAGGUUAUUUCAAAAUGGGGCCCCAAUCGAGCGGUAAAUUUCAUCUAAGGCUAAAUAUAGGUAAGAGACCAAUAACGAGCAAGUACCAUAAGGGAAAGAUGAAAAAGAGUUUAAAAAAAGAGUAAAAAAAUGCUUAAAAUUAUCAGGAAAGAAACAGAUAGGGGAAGUAAUACACCUCAAUUGAACAUGGAAUGGCAAAAGUUGAUCCGUUGAUCGGCUCAGAGUGUGGAUCGACAUGGAUUGUGGCAAUGGCCCAAGCCUAGGCUUUUGAUAUGCCCAUGGAGACAUCAUCACCAUGAUCAUGGAAUGUAGCACGCACUAUCUCAAUGUGCCUCAGCACCGGCAUGCUCUUGGUGCUGGCCUACAAGCUCCCUAUCUAGCCUAUCUUGAAACACAAACUAAAGAGUCUGACAUGUGUGUGAGUCAACAGGUUAGAAAAUAUGUAAGGUAUAAGGAAGUUGAUUAGAAAAAUCCUUUAUGGGUGCACCAUUGACCAACCUUGAUUUUCUUAGAAGGGUUUAAGUGUGAGUAUGCCUAUUGGGAGCCAAAAGAUGGUGAACUAUGCCUGAGCAGGGCGAAACUAGAGGAAACUCUAGUAGAGGCCCACAAUGAUACUAAUGUGCAAAUCGUUCAUCUGACUUAGGUAUAAGGGCAAAAGACUAAUUGAAUAGUCUAGUAGCUAGUUCCUUCUAAAAUUUUCCUCAGGAUAGCUGGAGCCCUUAACGAGUUCUACCUGGUAAAGCCAAUGAUUAGAGGCAUCAAAGGCAUAAUGCCAUCGACCUAUUCUCAAACUUUGAAUAGGUAAGAUAGCAUAGCUACUUCAUUUAACCAUGCUAUGGAUUCGAGAGCUCCAAAUGGGUCAUUUUUUGUAAAUAGAAUAAGCAAUGUAGGAUGAAUUGGAAGCCAGGUUAUGAUGCCCAACUUCACACUAACCUAGAACCCACAAAGUGUGUUGGUCGAUUAAGAUAGCAAGAUGGUGGUCAUGAAAGUUGACAUUCGCUAAAAAGUGUGUAACAUCUCACCUGUCAAACUAAAAAUGGAUGGCGCUAAAGUGCAUGAGCUAUACCUAGUUGUUAGGGUAAAGGCCAGGCCUUAAUGAGUAUGAGCGAGCAACGGUCAUCGAAAAACCCAAGGGGCAAACCCAAGCAAAAUGACUAUUUGUGCAAAUCUUGAUGGUAGUAACAAAUAUUUAAAUGAGACCUUUGAAGAUUGAAGAGGGGAAAAGUUCCAUGUGAAUGGCAUUUGCAUAUUAAUUAGUCGAUCAUAAAAGAUGAGAGAAGCCCAUUUGAUAGUAAUCUAGCAUGAGCUUCGAAAAGAAAUCAAGUUAAAGAUGUGACGGCUAAUGGCAACAUUAAAGAGUCUAAAAAUAUUGACAGGGGCAUCAGGAAGAGUUAUCUUUUUUGUUUAAUAGCCUACCCACCCUGGAAAAAGCUCAAUCAGAGGUAGGGUUUACUGGCCAAAAGAGCACCACACAUCACAUGGUGUUUGGUGUGCCUUUGAUGGCCUUUAGAAAUCUAAAAGAGCGAGUGCUAUCCAUGCCUUAUCAUACUCAUAACUGUAUCAAGUCUCCAAGGUGAAAAGCCUCUGGAUGAUGGAACAAUAUAGGUAAGGGAAGUCAAGAAAAUAGAUCUGUAACCUUAGAAAAUGGUUGGCUCUAAGGGCUAGGCAUGGACAUCCCAAUCUCAAACCCAUCAGCUACCAAUGCAUUACUCAAGCUAUUUUCACGAUGAGAGUGAGUUGCCACAUGCUGACUGAGGGAUGGACUAGGAAUAACUCCAUCGAGGAUCUUCUUAAGGUGACAAACAGUUAAUUUAUAAUUGAUAUAGACUAGGGGAAUCUAACUAUUUAAUUAAAACAAAACAUUGUAAUAAUCCCUAUUGACACUCAUACAAUGUGAUUUCUACCAAGUGCUCUGAAUGUCAAAGUGAAAAAAUUCAAUGAAGCAUGGGUAAAUGAUGGGAAUAACUAUAACUCUCUUAAAGUAGCCAAAUGCCUCAUCAUCUAAUUAGUGACAUGCAUGAUGGAUUAACGAGAUUCCCAUUAUCCCCAUCUAUUAUCUAGUGAAACCAUAGCCAAGGGAAUGGGCUUUGUAGAAUCAGUGGGGAAAUAAGACCCUGUUGAGCUUAACUCUAGUUUGACUUUGUGAAAUAACUUGAGAGGUCAAGGAUAAGUGAGAGCCCUCAGGCAAAAUUGAAAUACCACUACUUUUAACAUUAUUUUAAUUAUUCUGUGAAUAAGAGAUAAGGCACGACCCUUUCUUUUGGACCAAGGCCAGCCUUAGUCAGUUGAUCUAGGUGAAAGACAUUGUCAAUUAGGGAGUUGGCUAGGGCAUCACAUCCGUUAAAAGACAACACACAUAUCCUAAGAUAAGCUCAACAAGAACAAAAAUCUCAUAUGGAACAAGAGGGUAAAAGCUUAUUUGAUUAUGAUUUCUAGUAUGAAUAUGAACCAUGAAAGCAUGGCCUAUCAAUCCUUUAGUCUUUCAAAAUUUAAAGCUAAAGGUGUCAAAAAAGUUACCAUAGGAAUAAUUGGCUUGUGGCAGCCAUACGUUCAUAGUGAUGUUGCUUUUUGAUCCUUCAAUAUCGGUUUUUCCUAUCAUUAUGAAGUAGAUUCACCAAGUAUUGGAUUGUUCACCCAUCAAUUAAAAGCAUGAGCUAAGUUUAGACCAUCAUGACAAAGGUUAGUUUUACCCUACUGAUGGUAAUUGUAAUAGGAAUUCAACCUAGUACAAAAGGAAUAUUUGAUUUGUAUAAUUGGUCAUCUUACUUGGUUAAAAAGCCAAUGGAACAAAGCUAGCAUGCAAUGGAUUAUGAUAGAAUACCUCUAAGUUAGAAUCUAGGCUAAAAGCAAUGCACGCACCCAUUGUCUAAUUAUCGACAUGUAGUAAGAGCCUAUGGCCCUUAAAGACAGCUAUCAUAGGUGCAGCCCCUAUAGUGGACAAGCUAGGUGGGCCUCCUUGAAGCUCAAUUCCCACCAAA